rnacentral:rRNA from 1 species
AUGGAAAAAUUCAAAGGGUAUUCAGAAAAACAUAAAUCUCGUCAACAAUACUUUGUCUACCCACUUCUCUUUCAGGAAUAUAUUUAUGCAUUUGCCCACCAUUAUGGAUUAAAUGGUUCUGAACCUGUGGAAAUAGUUGUUAGUUGUAAUAACAAGAAAUUUAGUUCACUACUUGUGAAACGUUUAAUUAUUCGAAUGUAUCAGCAAUUUUUUUUGGAUAACUCGGUUAAUCAUCCUAACCAAGAUCGAUUAUUGGAUUACAAAAAUUAUUUUUAUUCUGAGUUUUAUUCUCAGAUUCUAUCUGAAGGGUUUGCGAUCGUUGUGGAAAUCCCAUUCUCGCUACGGGAAUUAUUUUGUCCGAAAGAAAAAGAAAUACCAAAGUUUCAGAAUUUACGCUCUAUUCAUUCAAUAUUUCCCUUUUUAGAAGACAAAUUUUUGCAUUUGGAUUAUCUAUCACAUAUAGAAAUACCCUAUCCUAUCCAUUUGGAAAUCCUGGUUCAACUCCUUCGAUACCGUAUCCAAGAUGUUCCAUCUUUGCAUUUAUUGCGAUUCUUUCUCAACUAUUAUUCGAAUUGGAAUAGUUUUAUUACUUCAAUGAAAUCCAUUUUUUAUUUUCAAAAAAGAAAAUAA